CCAUGCAUAGAAAAGGGUUUCAAAGUCACAACAAUAAAGUUAUAGUUUUCCUUCAAAGCUCACAUGGGGUUGCAUCGCAAAUUGUGUUUAUAAUAAGAUGCAACUAUGAAAACCUAAAAAGAGUACUGUACUAUUGUUUAGUUAUUUGGUAUAAAUAUAUUCAAAGCUACAUUUAAAUUAUAGACAUUUAUACAU